rnacentral:rRNA from 1 species
GAGUUUGAUCUUGGCUCAGAUUGAACGCUGGCGGCAUGCCUUACACAUGCAAGUCGAACGGCAGCACGGGAGCUUGCUCCUGGUGGCGAGUGGCGAACGGGUGAGUAAUGCAUCGGAACGUAUCCUGGAGUGGGGGAUAACGUAGCGAAAGUUACGCUAAUACCGCAUAUUCUGUGAGCAGGAAAGCGGGGGACCUUCGGGCCUCGCGCUCUUGGAGCGGCCGAUGUCGGAUUAGCUAGUUGGUGAGGUAAAGGCUCACCAAGGCGACGAUCCGUAGCAGGUCUGAGGGGAUGAUCUGCCACACUGGAACUGAGACACGGUCCAGACUCCUACGGGAGGCAGCAGUGGGGAAUUUUGGACAAUGGGGGCAACCCUGAUCCAGCCAUGCCGCGUGAGUGAAGAAGGCCUUCGGUUGUAAGACGUCUUCGUCGAGGG